AGAGAGAUUCCCUACCCGGACGGACCUUUGCCCCAGGACCCGGUCUAGAGAAGACCUCAGAACGACACGGAAGGACCUCCUCAUCUGGAUACCGGGACAGUUAAAGGCUUUUUGAAGUAAAGAGGAGCAUCUCAUCUGAACCUGAUGUCUAUCAUGGAUAUUUAACUGCAGUUCUGUGAGUAUCCCAACUUAACCAUGAAGAUGAACUGCAAACUGUAAGUCAUUAAUUUCUCAUUACUCUUGGGCACAUUGAUGUAUUUUGGCUUCCUGGUGAGUUAACCCGUUACCUGAAGGUUGAUCUGAGUAGUAAGGAUGUUUUAUUGGUUCAUGGGUUACUUGAGUGUUUGGUUUAUGGUGGUUUUAAUGAUUUGUUAAAAUGGUUACAGGCUCCAAGUUAUUGUUGUAAGCUGGAGUAAUGGGUUGGGUUCUGAUAUCUUCAGUCUUCUUUCAUUCUACUCUCCUGAGCCCUGCAUCUUCAUCACAUGAGUGUUUCUUUAUUGAUGAGGGUGUGGUCUGAGUGAGCAGAGGUGCAUACUGGGAUACAGAGCUGUCUGAAGUCUACAGGUCUGUAGACAAGCCCCCUCAGGGGAAACCGAGUGUUUGAGAAACUGUCGUGACGUCAGUUACAUGGACUGGAAUGUUCUUAAAGAUGGAGACAGGGAUUCAGAAGGAGAAACACCAGGGGGAGAUGAGGGGGCUCCUCAUCUCAACGACUAAAACACAACUUCAGUCUGACAAAGAGAACCAUGGAACACCUUCAACAGUCCCCUCCAGGCAUCGUGACUCCUCAGGAACAGUUUCAUUUCCAAGAAGGUCUUAUUUGGGGCCAUCCCCAUAUGGAUCCUGCUCCUCAAGAGCUACCCCCGUCUACUGGGUGGUCUUCUGAACAGAUGACCUCCUUCCUGUCCUCAGGCUGACUAAAGCUGCACCGUUUGCAUCUGUGACGGCCCCUCAUUCAGGAAACCACUGGACUACAAAGACAUGACUUCAGAGACGUUGACUCAACCUGAGACACAUUUUGGAGACGCCAAGCAUAAUCAAUCACCAAUGUGGGACGCCACUGAAGAAUGUUGUACAUAAUUUACGUCUCUGGAGACAUUGGUUGUUCUGUUAUGGGUGCCCUGGCAGGAGAGCUGGGGGGGGAUGAUGGAAUGUUAUUUGGCGUGAGGU